UAAAGCAUGAUCCAUCUGGAAUCUCCAUUUACUAGCCAUUUUGUGAAACCAUGAACCACAUCUGUUUUCAUCUGUUUAUUUAAAGGAUCUAGCUAUUUUGCUAUCAGUUGUCACUCAUCUUUAUCUUUAUAAAUAAUAUAACAUCAAGAAAAGAGCAUAGAAAUAGGAAUAUAGGCAAGAGGAAAGUGAAGGUAAUUUGAGUAUAUUCUGUUAACUGCUUAUGACAAAAUAUUAAAUACAAUUCAGGUGUGCCUUGUUUGAACCUUUUUAGUCCCAGAGGCUCUCUGAUGGCUUCCUGAAUUCCCAGAGUGUACAGGGAAGAGUAUGUGGAGGGAUCAUGGGUCAAGUUCUUCUUUUAGAAUGUAUGAGAGUGAUUUUGCGCUAAUAACCCCAGGAUAACUCAUAAAAGUGUAUCUUACUCUCUCUCUCUCUCUCUCUCUCUCUCUCUCUCCCUCUCAACCCCCCCCCCAUAUAAUAGAAUUGAAUACAGUUUCCCACAAUAACUCUAAAGAUAAUAAAGUGGAGCAAAGGCUAUGUUAGGACCUCGUGCAAUGUUAGGACCUCGUUUGCACAAGGCCCUGGGUUAGAUGCCUAGUACCACCUGCAAUAUCAAAACUAUGAUAUAAAAACAGGAAGACUAAGUGUUUAAGGUCAUCCUUGACUACAUAGUGAGUUGGAGCCAGUGUGGGCUACCUGAGACCCUGCUUCAUCUCAACCCACUCCCAAGAAAAAAAGAUGAGAAAAUUAAUACAUUUAAUUUAGCUUUUAUACCCCAAUAAGUUUUAUUUGCUAUUUUCAAACAUUACUUUUUCUCAAGGUCUGUUUAGCAGAUGGUUUAUUUUAUAAACUCUAUUCUUUCUAGAUAUGUUCCAUAAAUAAAAGGAUGUUCUGAGAGCAAGAAAAGUUAAGGAAUUAACUUAUAUGGAAGUCUAGAUGUCCUAAAGUGCAGCAGGUUGCUGGCAUCCGGUGCAUUAUGGGAGUAUAAGCUUCACCCAAGUCAGUAACCUGACACACUCAUAUCUGAUGAGACCAAAGAAAGAAAAUAGCUCUUCAGUCCCCGAGUCGGGUUCAGUUAUGAGUUGAAGGUGAAGUCAGAACUAUUUAAGGUUUUGUUUUAUUUAUAGGCCUCACUAUUAAGUGUAAGGUUUCUAAGAAAGUGGAAGACAGCGUUCCCAGCCCCGAAGCUUCUCACGGAAUGAGUAAGCCAGUGCAAGGAUCCUCAGUGCACAUGACUGAGAGUUGUAACAAACAUGCAAAGUAGAGCACUUGGGACAUUGUGAGCCUGGCCUGAUGGGAGUUCUCUGUGGGCCAGGGCCUCAGUGAAGGCCUGCUGAUGCAGAAAUGUCCCAGUGAGCCUUGGAACUGGACAAGAGCAAAGGAAAUUCUCCUGGAAACUGCUGGGAUAAGUUAGGAGUUAGCAGAAUAAGGAACCUGUGGGAAGGCAUCAAGGAAGACCUAAGAGUAUUGCCAGCCCACAGACGACUCCCAGCAGUCCCCCAAGACCCAGCCUCUGUCUGAACCCUGUCUACCACCAGGAGCCAUCACAGGUCCCAUUGUUUUACUGUGUAAUUGCUCUGCGAUUCGAUAAUAGAAGUGCGGCCUAUACAUUUUCAUAAUCACCUCCAGAGCACAUCCAUUAUUCAAAAGAAAAGCUUGUGUGAGAAUGAUAAUCUUUAUUUUAGGUAUACUAAGUACUGUUAUCAUAUUAGCUCAUUGGGUUCCCACAAUAAACCUCUUUGAUAGGUGCUAUCCAUUGCAGAGGUAAGGAAAAUGGAGUCCUCAAGAAAUUUUACAUUUUAUUUGGAAUCCUAUAAACUGUACUGUCUCACUUUUUAUCUCGGUUUCUCUCUCUUACACAGAGAGAGAGAGAGGUGAGGAGGAAAGAGAGGGGAGGGAGAAGUGAGGGAGAAACAGAGAGAGAACACAUAUGUGCUACAGGCAUAGUCUAGGUUGAGAAGUCCCCAACACUGAAGUGAUGGAUGGUGUCUAGAAGUGUGAAUGGGAAUAGCACAUAGAGCCUUUUCCCACAUUCCAAACCACCUAUAGGAUGGAGAGGCUUUUUGUUUUUUACCCCUGACUGAAAAGGGAGAAGGCACUUUGCAAACUAGCCACACUCUACCACAAAUACAAGAAUAUUAUUACAGGAGAAAUUACAAGGUCUUUUUAUUUUUUAGACUUUAUGCUCAUCCAACUUUCUAUUAACAAUUGCAUUUAGAUAACUUAUUUUUGAGAUGUUCAAAAAUAUUACAUAUUAAAGUUUCCAGCAUAGAAAAAGUAACAAAAGAAAACCAUACCUUAUAGCCUUGCCAGCCAGGUAACUCAAACAUAUGAUUGAAAAACAAC
rnacentral:lncRNA from 1 species